UACACUCCUACGGGAGGCAGCAGUGGGGAAUUUUACGCAAUGGGGGAAACCCUGACGUAGCGACACCGCGUGAGCGAAGAAGCCCUUUGGGGUGUAAAGCUCUGUCAGCUGGAACGAAAACAAUGACGGUACCAGCAGAGGAAGCAUCGGCUAACUACGUGCCAGCAGCCGCGGUAAGACGUAGGAUGCGAGCGUUGUCCGGAUUUAUUGGGCGUAAAGAGUUCGUAGGUGGUUUGUUAAGUUUGGUGUUAAAGAUCGGGGCUCAACCCUGGGACUGCACUGAAUACUGGCAGACUCGAGUGUGGUAGAGGCUAGUGGAAUUCCCAGUGUAGCGGUGAAAUGCGUAGAUAUUGGGAAGAACACCGGUGGCGUAGGCGACUAGCUGGGCCAUAACUGACGCUGAGGAACGAAAGCCAGGGGAGCGAAUGGGAUUAGAUACCCGUGUAGUCCCAU
rnacentral:rRNA from 1 species